rnacentral:rRNA from 1 species
AGUGAACGCUGGCGGUAGGCCUAACACAUGCAAGUCGAACGGCAGCACAGUAAGAGCUUGCUCUUACGGGUGGCGAGUGGCGGACGGGUGAGGAACACAUCGGAAUCUACUUUUUCGUGGGGGAUAACGUAGGGAAACUUACGCUAAUACCGCAUACGACCUACGGGUGAAAGCAGGGGAUCUUCGGACCUUGCGCGAUUGAAUGAGCCGAUGUCGGAUUAGUUAGUUGGCGGGGUAAAGGCCCACCAAGGCGACGAUCCGUAGCUGGUCUGAUAGGAUGAUCAGCCACACUGGAACUGAGACACGGUCCAGACUACUACGGGAGGCAGCAGUGGGGAAUAUUGGACAAUGGGCGCAAGCAUGAUCCAGCCAUACCGAGUGGGUGGAAGAGGCGUUCGGGUUGUAAAGCCCUUUUGUUGGGAAAGAAAAGCAGCAGGUUAAUACCCCGCUGUUCUGACGGUACCCAAAGAAUAAGCACCGGCUAACUUCGUG